CUACGGGUGGCUGCAGUGGGGAAUAUUGCACAAUGGGCGCAAGCCUGAUGCAGCCAUGCCGCGUGUAUGAAGAAGGCCUUCGGGUUGUAAAGUACUUUCAGCAGGGAGGAAGGGAGUAAAGUUAAUACCUUUGCUCAUUGACGUUACCCGCAGAAGAAGCACCGGCUAAGUCCGUGCCAGCAGCCGCGGUAAUACGGGGGGUGCAAGCGUUAAUCGGAAUUACUGGGCGUAAAGCGCACGCAGGCGGUUUGUUAAGUCAGAUGUGAAAUCCCCGGGCUCAACCUGGGAACUGCAUCUGAUACUGGCAAGCUUGAGUCUCGUAGAGGGGGGUAGAAUUCCAGGUGUAGCGGUGAAAUGCGUAGAGAUCUGGAGGAAUACCGGUGGCGAAGGCGGCCCCCUGGACGAAGACUGACGCUCAGGUGCGAAAGCGUGGGGAGCAAACAGGAUUAGAUACCCUCGUAGUC
rnacentral:rRNA from 1 species